UGCCACAGCCAUAACACGCUGCAGCCCAAGACCGGUUAGUCACUGAAGCUAAGCAGGGCUGAGCCCGGUCAGUACAUGGAUUGGAGACCACAUGGGAAAAGUAGGCUGCUGUUGGAA
ensembl:rRNA 5S_rRNA 5S ribosomal RNA